rnacentral:rRNA from 1 species
CCUACGGGAGGCAGCAGUGGGGAAUAUUGGGCAAUGGGCGCAAGCCUGACCCAGCAACGCCGCGUGAAGGAAGAAGGCUUUCGGGUUUUAAACUUCUUUUAAGAGGGAAGAGAAGAAGACGGUACCUCUUGAAUAAGCCACGGCUAACUACGUGCCAGCAGCCGCGUCAAUACGUAGGUGGCAAGCGUUGUCCGGAUUUACUGGGUGUAAAGGGCGUGCAGCCGGGCUGACAAGUCAGAUGUGAAAUCCCGCGGCUCAACCGCGGAACUGCAUUUGAAACUGUCAGUCUUGAGUACCGGAGAGGUCAUCGGAAUUCGUUGUGUAGCGGUGAAAUGCGUAGAUAUAAGGAAGAACACCAGUGGCGAAGGCGGAUGACUGGACGGCAACUGACGGUGAGGCGCGAAAGCGUGGGGAGCAAACAGGAUUAGAUACCCCUGUAGUC